CAGCAGAAACGCUGAACCUACAUGCACAAACCACAGUGGAAGAGAGAAGGAUGGAACCAGCAGACAUGCUGAACCCACAAGCACAAAUCUCAGUGGAAGAGACAAGGAUGGAACCAGCUGAUACCUUGAACCCACAAGCACAAAUUACAGUGGAAGGGACGGAACCAGCAGAUACGUUGAGCCCACAAGCACAAGUUACAGUGGAAGAAAGGAGAAUGGAACCAGCAGAUACGGUGAACCCCCCACAAGCACAAAUUUCAGUGGAAGAAAGA
rnacentral:lncRNA from 1 species